rnacentral:lncRNA from 1 species
CUGGCUGUUCUCCCUUGUCAAAAGAAUGACUCUGAAUUCGAAAUAGGGGUAUUUAUAGGUGAGGAGCACGUCAUAAACAGGCCCAAGUCCAGCGUGCUACUGCCGGGCGGUUUAAGUGUGCCGCCUGGCGAUUUCCCCUAACCUACUGCCACCGCCUCGCGGCAAUCGCCACCGCCCGGCGACAAUCGCUGGCGCCCGGCGGUUUCCCUCACUGUCAAUUUCCAUGCCUACUCCUCGUCCUGGACCGC